AAUAGCCCAGUCUGAAUAGGGUUAAAUUAUAAAAGUACUUACAGCUAAUAAUACUAAGGUUGCAGGUCUGCUCGUCCAUGGGAUAUCGACGCAGAUUCAUGUGACACCGCGCUAUCAGUGUGGCCCUGUUGACAAACAAGCAAACGUGUAAGAGUAGCCAGUAAUCCAUUAAUAAUGCCCUCAUAAGCAUCGAUGGCAAGAUGGCAAACAGCAAGAUGGCAAACAUAGACCAAGUCAUAUUCUUGUCACUUGGUUUCAUUUUAAGAACACGCGUCCCCCCGGCGUGACGUCUAGCUUGUGAUUGGCUACCAUCACGUUAUGCAUGUAAGCAUGACUGGCAUCCACGAAGACUGUGUCCGGGACCCACACAAAGUCAGCAGGGUGCUUGGUACCUGUCGUCAAUGUCAUCGUCUCGUUCAUGUUAUGACGUAAUCGCGGAUCGUGCCAGCUUUGUCGGAAAAACAUGUCUAGACUGAAUUUCUGCGGAGAACACGAUAUAGACCAAUCAAUUAAAAUGACACGUGCUUAACGGUUUGGAGAAGGACCAUUUCUCAUUGCUACGUGGCCAAUAAUGAAUGUACGUAUGUUUACUCUAAUCCAUUUAGUUCUUCUGAUCGAGUUGAUCCAGAAGCUCGUAUUUAAGGUGAUUUUUCCUGCCCUUGUCUACCAAGACGCGCUUGACACCACCAAUUUAUUUGUGCUAUGUGAGAGGAGGGAGCAUGGCUAAACUAGAUUUGUAAUACAGACAAGAUCGUCGUAAGGUUUAGGUCAGUUUUAGCUAAAAAUAACUAAAAAUACUAAGAAUAACUAAAAAAUACCGUAACUUACUCGCUAAAAACACUUCCUGUCGACAUUCAAAUGUAAUGUUGCUGACUGAACCCAUAAUUCUGUGUUACUUAGUUUUUUAUCGCAAUGGGCUCAAUAAACAGAAUAUCUUUUACGUAUGUGAUCGAACCUGUUGGCUCCAACAGGUACACUAAAAAUACCAAAGCUGCCCAUCGGGAAUUUUAAACAAAAAAGCUUGUGAGUACCUCCUUUUUGAAAUUGUGAUUAGCAACCUUCAUGCAAGAACAUGGAUAAAAUAAUAAGGAUUGAUACUUAAAGGCUCGCUUACCAUGUCUGCUUCUUGUAAGUUCCCGAACGAGGCAACGGAAAUAUCAAUAAGGAUUUCCACUGGAUCGCCUAGAAGAGCAAAAAAGGAACUUAACUAGGGAGGUAUGGAAGAAUGAUGAGAGAGUAAUUAGAGUAUACAGGAAAGCAAAAAGGAACUUAACUAGGGGAGGAUGGAAGAAUGAUGAGAGAGUAAGUAGAGUAUACAGGUAAGCAGAAAAGAAACUUAACGAGGGAGGGAUGGAAGACUGAUGAGAGAGUAAGUAGAGUAUACAGGUUAGCAAAAAAGGAACUUAACUAGGGAGGGAUGGAGGAAUGAUGAGAGAGUAAGUGGAGUAUACAGGUCUGUUAGCGUUAGGGUCUUGGAAUUAUGGGGUUUUAUCAAGAAUGCAGGAAUAUGCAAGAUUUAAAGGGUUUGAUAUUUAUGAAUGGUAAAAGUAAAUAGUGAAAGAAUGGUUAAGAUAACUGGUAAAGGAAUGUUAAAUGAUCGCAAAAGAAAAUGGUGAAGGAUGGUAAAGGUAAAUGGUAAAGGAAUGGUAAAGAUGGUAAAAGUAAAUGGUGAAAGAUGGCAAAAGAAGGUAACGGAAUGGUAAAGGAUGGUAAAAGUAAAUGGUGAAGGAUGGCAAAGGAUGGUAAAGGAAUGGUAAAGGAUGGAAAAAGUAAAUGGUGAAGGAUGGUAAAGGAAUGGUAAGGGAUAAUAAAAGUGAAUGGUAAAGGAUGGUAAA